rnacentral:rRNA from 1 species
ACACAUGCAAGUCGAACGGUAACAGGAAGCAGCUUGCUGCUUCGCUGACGAGUGGCGGACGGGUGAGUAAUGUCUGGGAAACUGCCUGAUGGAGGGGGAUAACUACUGGAAACGGUAGCUAAUACCGCAUAACGUCGCAAGACCAAAGAGGGGGACCUUCGGGCCUCUUGCCAUCGGAUGUGCCCAGAUGGGAUUAGCUAGUAGGUGGGGUAACGGCUCACCUAGGCGACGAUCCCUAGCUGGUCUGAGAGGAUGACCAGCCACACUGGAACUGAGACACGGUCCAGACUCCUACGGGAGGCAGCAGUGGGGAAUAUUGCACAAUGGGCGCAAGCCUGAUGCAGCCAUGCCGCGUGUAUGAAGAAGGCCUUCGGGUUGUAAAGUACUUUCAGCGGGGAGGAAGGCGACAGGGUUAAUAACCCUGUCGAUUGACGUUACCCGCAGAAGAAGCACCGGCUAACUCCGCGCCAGCAGCCGCGGUAAUACGGAGGGUGCAAGCGUUAAUCGGAAUUACUGGGCGUAAGGCGCACGCAGGCGGUCUGUCAAGUCGGAUGUGAAAUCCCCGGGCUCAACCUGGGAACUGCAUUCGAAACUGGCAGGCUAGAGUCUUGUAGAGGGGGGUAGAAUUCCAGGUGUAGCGGUGAAAUGCGUAGAGAUCUGGAGGAAUACCGGUGGCGAAGGCGGCCCCCUGGACAAAGACUGACGCUCAGGUGCGAAAGCGUGGGGAGCA